GAGUAAUAAUUUUUCUUGCUAUAUUUUUUUUUGCACCUCUGUUUCAUAUCUCAGCAUUUUUGGGAAGUAUCUGAAUAUGUGGAAACAUCUGAAAGCACUGAACUAUUUUCUCCAUGUACUGGGAAAGUAGUAUUUCCACACAAAAUAUCUUCCUCAUUUUAAUCAGACAAAAGUUUUUUCCAAUACAUAUUCAUACUCAGAACUGAUAUCGUUAACUGAAAAUCUAAUAUAAUAAUUUGAAUGGAUGUUUCUAAUUUUUAUGGUUUUGGAUACAUAUUGUAGAGGUGAUUUUAAUUGGAUGAAAUUGCAAAACAGGUUUAUAUCAAAAUCAAUUCCUUUCAUGUACCAGUCUGUUGCUAGAUUAUAGUUUUGGGUGGUUUGCUUUUGUAUAUUUUGUGGUGUUUUAAAUUUUUUUGUUUGGUUUGGGCAGUUUUUUAUUUGUUUGUUUGUUUGUUUGUUUUUUGGUUUGUUGGAUUUUAAUUCUCUUCAUUUAUGACAGGGAAAGAACAGGGGAAAAGAAAAAAAACGAAAUCUAAAAGGAACCUGUCAUUUCAGGCUGUUCUAACAGCAAACAGGAUUUGACUGUAGAGUGUUAUGUUGAUAGAAGUUCCUGUUUUCUUCACCCAUGUGGCUGAGCUACCAGAAAAGAAGAGAAACAAUCUCAGGUGUUUCUCCAAUAGCAGGUGUAAAUCAUCUCUAGCUGAGAUAAUUAAGGUGUUACCAGGAAGAGGUUGAACUGCACAGGGUAGCAGCAAUUCUCCUGAGCCCUAUUGAAUUCACUGGUGCAAUUCUAAUAAAUAGUUUCCCGAAACCCCA
rnacentral:lncRNA from 1 species